AGCUUGCUCUUAUGAAGUUAGCGGCGGACGGGUGAGUAACACGUGGGUAACCUGCCCAUAAGACUGGGAUAACUCCGGGAAACCGGGGCUAAUACCUGAUAACAUUUUGAACCGCAUGGUUCGAAAUUGAAAGGCGGCUUCGGCUGUCACUUAUGGAUGGACCCGCGUCGCAUUAGCUAGUUGGUGAGGUAACGGCUCACCAAGGCAACGAUGCGUAGCCGACCUGAGAGGGUGAUCGGCCACACUGGGACUGAGACACGGCCCAGACUCCUACGGGAGGCAGCAGUAGGGAAUCUUCCGCAAUGGACGAAAGUCUGACGGAGCAACGCCGCGUGAGUGAUGAAGGCUUUCGGGUCGUAAAACUCUGUUGUUAGGGAAGAACAAGUGCUAGUUGAAUAAGCUGGCACCUUGACGGUACCUAACCAGAAAGCCACGGCUAACUACGUGCCAGCAGCCGCGGUAAUACGUAGGUGGCAAGCGUUAUCCGGAAUUAUUGGGCGUAAAGCGCGCGCA
rnacentral:rRNA from 1 species